rnacentral:rRNA from 1 species
UACGUAGGGUGCAAGCGUUAAUCGGAAUUACUGGGCGUAAAGCGUGCGCAGGCGGUUAUGCAAGACAGAUGUGAAAUCCCCGGGCUCAACCUGGGAACUGCAUUUGUGACUGCAUAGCUAGAGUACGGUAGAGGGGGAUGGAAUUCCGCGUGUAGCAGUGAAAUGCGUAGAGAUGUGGAGGAACACCGAUGGCGAAGGCAGCCUCCUGGGCCAGCACUGACGCUCAUGCACGAAAGCGUGGGGAGCAAACAGG